AAAAAAGGUAAGCUACUAAGAGCGAAUGGUGGAUGCCUUGACUGGUAAAGGCGAUGAAGGACGUACUAGACUGCGAUAAGCUACGGGGAGCUGUCAAGAAGCUUUGAUCCGUAGAUUUCCGAAUGGGGCAACCCAAUGUAUAGAGAUAUACAUUACCUAUAUAGGAGCGAACGAGGGGAAUUGAAACAUCUUAGUACCCUCAGGAAAAGAAAUCAAUAGAGAUUGCGUCAGUAGCGGCGAGCGAAAGCGCAAGAGGGCAAACCCAGUGCUUGCACUGGGGGUUGUAGGACUGCAAUGUGCAAGAGGUAAGUUUAGCAGAACAUUCUGGAAAGUAUAACCAUAGAGGGUGAUAGUCCCGUAUGCGAAAAACAAACCUUAGCUAGCAGUAUCCUGAGUAGGGCGGGACACGAGGAAUCCUGUCUGAAUCCGGGUCGACCACGAUCCAACCCUAAAUACUAAUACCAGAUCGAUAGUGCACAAGUACCGUGAGGGAAAGGUGAAAAGAACUGAGGUGAUCAGAGUGAAAUAGAACCUGAAACCAUUUGCUUACAAUCAUUCAGAGCCCUAUGUAGCAAUACAGGGUGAUGGACUGCCUUUUGCAUAAUGAGCCUGCGAGUUGUGGUGUCUGGCAAGGUUAAGCAAACGCGAAGCCGUAGCGAAAGCGAGUCUGAAUAGGGCGCUUAGUCAGAUGCUGCAGACCCGAAACGAAGUGAUCUAUCCAUGAGCAAGUUGAAGCUAGUGUAAGAACUAGUGGAGGACUGAACCCAUAGGCGUUGAAAAGCCCCGGGAUGACUUGUGGAUAGGGGUGAAAGGCCAAUCAAACUUCGUGAUAGCUGGUUCUCUCCGAAAUAUAUUUAGGUAUAGCGUUGUGUCGUAAUAUAAGGGGGUAGAGCACUGAAUGGGCUAGGGCAUACACCAAUGUACCAAACCCUAUCAAACUCCGAAUACCUUAUAUGUAAUCACAGCAGUCAGGCGGCGAGUGAUAAAAUCCGUCGUCAAGAGGGAAACAACCCAGACUACCAGCUAAGGUCCCUAAAUCUUACUUAAGUGGAAAACGAUGUGAAGUUACUUAAACAACCAGGAGGUUGGCUUAGAAGCAGCCAUCCUUUAAAGAAAGCGUAAUAGCUCACUGGUCUAGUGAUUUUGCGCGGAAAAUAUAACGGGGCUAAAGUAAGUACCGAAGCUGUAGACUUGCACACAACUUAGAUUAUUUAAGUUUAGAAUAUGAGAAACUAAGUUAUAUGUUUAGUUAUAUUUUUACUGAUUUUUAUAGAGUAAAGAUAGAAAUAAAACUUAGUAAAAUCAGUAAAAAUAUUCUUAGACUAAAGUUAAGUAGUUUAAGUUGUGUGCAAGUGGUAGGAGAGCGUUCUAUUUGCGUCGAAGGUAUACCGGUAAGGAGUGCUGGAGCGAAUAGAAGUGAGCAUGCAGGCAUGAGUAGCGAUAAUUAAUGUGAGAAUCAUUAACGCCGUAAACCCAAGGUUUCCUACGCGAUGCUCGUCAUCGUAGGGUUAGUCGGGUCCUAAGUCGAGUCCGAAAGGGGUAGACGAUGGCAAAUUGGUUAAUAUUCCAAUACCAACAUUAGUGUGCGAUGGAAGGACGCUUAGGGCUAAGGGGGCUAGCGGAUGGAAGUGCUAGUCUAAGGUCGUAGGAGGUUAUACAGGCAAAUCCGUAUAACAAUACUCCGAGAACUGAAAGGCUUUUUGAAGUCUUCGGAUGGAUAGAAGAACCCCUGAUGCCGUCGAGCCAAGAAAAGUUUCUAAGUUUAGCUAAUGUUGCCCGUACCGUAAACCGACACAGGUGGGUGGGAUGAGUAUUCUAAGGCGCGUGGAAGAACUCUCUUUAAGGAACUCUGCAAAAUAGCACCGUAUCUUCGGUAUAAGGUGUGGUUAGCUUUGUAUUAGGAUUUACUCCGAAAGCAAGGAAACUUACAACAAAGAGUCCCUCCCGACUGUUUACCAAAAACACAGCACUCUGCUAACUCGUAAGAGGAUGUAUAGGGUGUGACGCCUGCCCGGUGCUCGAAGGUUAAUUGAUGGGGUUAGCAUUAGCGAAGCUCUUGAUCGAAGCCCGAGUAAACGGCGGCCGUAACUAUAACGGUCCUAAGGUAGCGAAAUUCCUUGUCGGUUAAAUACCGACCUGCAUGAAUGGCGUAACGAGAUGGGAGCUGUCUCAAAGAGGGAUCCAGUGAAAUUGUAGUGGAGGUGAAAAUUCCUCCUACCCGCGGCAAGACGGAGAGACCCCGUGGACCUUUACUACAGCUUGACACUGCUAUUUGGAUAAGAAUGUGCAGGAUAGGUGGGAGGCUUUGAGUAUAUGACGCCAGUUGUAUAUGAGCCAUUGUUGAGAUACCACUCUUUCUUAUUUGGGUAGCUAACCAGCUUGAGUUAUCCUCAAGUGGGACAAUGUCUGGUGGGUAGUUUGACUGGGGCGGUCGCCUCCCAAAUAAUAACGGAGGCUUACAAAGGUUGGCUCAGAACGGUUGGAAAUCGUUCGUAGAGUAUAAAGGUAUAAGCCAGCUUAACUGCAAGACAUACAAGUCAAGCAGAGACGAAAGUCGGUCUUAGUGAUCCGGUGGUUCUGUGUGGAAGGGCCAUCGCUCAAAGGAUAAAAGGUACCCCGGGGAUAACAGGCUGAUCUCCCCCAAGAGCUCACAUCGACGGGGAGGUUUGGCACCUCGAUGUCGGCUCAUCGCAUCCUGGGGCUGGAGCAGGUCCCAAGGGUAUGGCUGUUCGCCAUUUAAAGCGGUACGCGAGCUGGGUUCAGAACGUCGUGAGACAGUUCGGUCCCUAUCUGCCGUGGGCGUAAGAAGAUUGAAGAGAUUUGACCCUAGUACGAGAGGACCGGGUUGAACAAACCACUGGUGUAGCUGUUGUUCUGCCAAGAGCAUCGCAGCGUAGCUAAGUUUGGAAAGGAUAAACGCUGAAAGCAUCUAAGCGUGAAGCCAACUCUAAGAUGAAUCUUCUCUAAGCUCUCUAGAAGACUACUAGUUUGAUAGGCUGGGUGUGUAAUGGAUGAAAGUCCUUUAGCUGACCAGUACUAAUAGAGCGUUUGGCUUAUCUUUAAUAAAGCAU
rnacentral:rRNA from 1 species